AUACGGAGGGUGCAAGCGUUGUUCGGAAUUAUUGGGCGUAAAGCGCGUGUAGGCGGUUUUUUAAGUCUGAUGUGAAAGCCCCGGGCUCAACCUGGGAAGUGCAUUGGAAGCUGGGAGACUUGAAUACGGGAGAGGGUAGUGGAAUUCCUAGUGUAGGAGUGAAAUCCGUAGAUAUUAGGAGGAACACCGGUGGCGAAGGCGGCUACCUGGACCGAUAUUGACGCUGAGACGCGAAAGCGUGGGGAGC
rnacentral:rRNA from 1 species